UCUUCACAGCUGCUGUCACCUUUUCGAUCUC
rnacentral:piRNA from 1 species